rnacentral:misc_RNA from 1 species
AAAAAAAAAAAAAAAAGAGAAAAACCCCUACUAAAAGCUGAAUCCCAACUGAACAGUAUAAGAAUAAAAAAUUCCUGAGAGUUGGCAAUUGUUUGUUCGUAUGUACUCUAGACAUGUUAAUUAUCAAAUAAACAGUUCAGGUUAUUCAGCCAAAAAUGAUAAAAAAAUGGAAUUGGAAUCUUUUGUGUUCUGCUAUGAUUCAGUAGCUUGAUGUUACACUUUAAUGUCAACUACAGUGGUGUUGAUCGAUUCAAG